rnacentral:rRNA from 1 species
GAUGCCUCGGGAGCAGGUGCCGGUCCAAGUCCCCUGGAACGGGGCGUCAGUAGUAGGGUGAGAGUCCUGUACCUGGCCGGCCUCCGAUCCCGCGNGGGGCUCCUUCGACGAGUCGAGUUGUUUGGGAAUGCAGCUCUAAAUUGGUGGUAAAUUUCAUCUAAAGCUAAAUACCGGCUGGAGACCGAUAGCGCACAAGUAGAGUGAUCGAAAGAUGAAAAGCACUUUGGAAAGAGAGUUAAAAAGUACGUGAAAUUGUUGAAAGGGAAGCGCUUGCAGCCAGACUCGCCCGCGGCAGAUCAGCCGUCUCUAGGGGCGGUGUACUCUGUCGCGACCGGGCCAGCAUCGGUUCCGGGGGCGGGAUAAAGGCCCGAGGAAAGUAGCUCCACCCCGUGGAGUGUUAUAGCCUCCCGCGCCAUGCCGCCUCCCGGGACCGAGGAUCGCGUCUUUCUAGGAUGCUGGCAUAAUGGCUGUCAGCGACCCGUCUUGAAACACGGACCAAGGAGUCGACCACCUAACUGAGUGUCAGGGUGUCAAACCCUUGCGCGUAAUGAAAGUAAACGUCGGUGGGAGCCCUCGGGUGCACCAUCGCCCGGCCCCUGAUGUCCGCUGACGGGGCUGCGGAGGAAGUUAGUUGGUCGGACCCGAAAGAUGGUGAACUAUGCGUGAAUAGGGUGAAGCCAGAGGAAACUCUGGUGGAGGCUCGCAGCGGUUCUGACGUGCAAAUCGAUCGUCAAAUUUGCGUAUAGGGGCGAAAGACUAAUCGAACCAUCUAGUAGCUGGUUCACGCCGAAGUUUCCCUCAGGAUAGCAGUGUCGUAUUCAGUUUUAUGAGGUAAAGAAAUGAUUGGAAGUCUGGGGGACCCAAGUGUCCUUCACUUACUCUCAAACUUUAAAUAUGUAAGAAGCCCUUGUUACUUGAUUGAACGUGGGCAGUAGAAUGCGCGACAUUUGGGGCC